UCUUUGCGACCCCAUGGUCUGUAGCCUGUCACGCUCCUCUGUCCAUGGGAUUUCCCAGGCAAGAAUACUGGAGUGGGUUGCCAUUUCCUUCUCCAGGGGAUCUUCCCAACCCAGGGGUCAAACCUCUGUCUCUUGAACUGCAGGCUGAUUCUUUACCACUGAGCCACCUGGGAAGCCCCUCUCCCACCCCUUAAAAGUCAAUACUUUCAGGACUUUCUCAGUGGUCCAGUGGUUCAGAAUCCACCUGCCAAUGCAGGGGACAUGGGUUCCACCCCUGGUCCAGGAAGAUUCCACGUGCAAAUAAGCCCUAUGCGCCAUGACUGCUGAAGUCUGUGUGCCCCAGAGCCCAUGUUCCGUAACAUGAGAAGCCACUGCAAUGAGAGGCCUGGGCACCGCAACUAGAGAGUAACCUCCACUCAUUGCAACUAGAGACAGCUCGUGAGCAGCAAUGAAGACCCAGUGCAGCCAAAAAAAAAAAGUCUGUGAUUUCAGGGUUUGGUCCUAGGCCCUGGGGCUGCUGAUAUUUACACACUGCCCCUGUAUGAUCUCAUUCACUCCUGCGGUCAAUUUCCCCGUCUGUAUUGAUGACUCUCUAAUCCUUGCCUCAGGCCCAGAUCUCUCUCCUAUGCUAGCAGGUAGGGGUAUUUCUAUUUGGGAACUUCUCAAACCUUCAAAAUAAAAAUGCCCCAAACCAAAAGAAUAUGAUCAUCUUUUUCUUCUAGUAUGUUCCUUAUUUCAGUGAAAGGCAUCACCAUUUUCUAAUUGCCUAAGCCAGAAAUACAAGACUCUAAUCCCUUCUUGUCAUUCUCACUUUGCUUAACCUCAUCUCCUAAAAUCAGUGCUGUAUAAACUUUGGUAUGAAUAAGAAUCACAAGGAGGAUUCAUUAAAACUCAGACUCCUGGAUCUUGUCCCCCAGAAAUUCUGAUUUGAUGGGGGUUGGGGGUAGGAGUGAGCCAUGGAUUAGCAUGCUCUGGGCUUCCCCAAUAGCUCAGUUGGUAAAGAGUCCACCUGCAAUGCAGGAGACCCUGGUUUGAUUCCUGGGUUGGGAAGAUCCCCUGGAGAAGGGAAAGGCUACCCACUCUAGUAUUCUGGCCUGGAGAAUUCCAUGGACUGUACAGUCUAUGGGAGCACAAAAGUAGGGACUGAAAAAUCUGAGAAUCUGCAUUUUUAACAGGCUUCCAGGUGACCCUGAUGCUCUGCAGAACACAUUUUGUCACAUUGUCCUAAAGGGCUUCUCACUGUUUUUUUAUGAUAAAGCCCCAAAUUUUUAGCAUGACGUUCUAUAUCAUUUUACUUAGUUCUUUACAUUCAUUUCUUACUACGCUCAUCUGAUUCCUGGUGCUUGUUUAAUGGCAUGCUGUGUCUUGAAAUCUGAAUAUUUAUCUCUUUGCUUGGCUGAUUCUUACUCCUCUCUCAGUAUUCAGAUUACUCAUUUAUUCUACAGAGGUUACAAAGUCUUUGCCCACAAACAAGAAAUUUUCUAAAAUUGAACUUACUUGUUUGACAUCUAGAUAACAGAAAUGGAAUAUCAGUGUUAGUAAUCUUAGUCAGUUCAGAAUGUCCUUCACAUUCUGCCUGGGUUGCCUGGGUUGUAUCAGUGUUUGAGGGGACCUAUUUUUACCAAAUUCAUUGAUCGGACCAAUGCUGGGAACCUAGCCCAGGUUGAGACCCAUUGUCUCAGCUUCUUUUUCCACUCAGAUCUGUAGUCAGAUUUGACUGUGGCUCAGGUCAUGAACUCAUUAUUGCCAAAUUCAAGACUUAAAUUGAAGAAAGUGGGGGAAACCACUAGGCUAUUCAGGUACGGCCUAAAUCAAAUCCCUUACAAUUAUACAGGGAUUGACAAAUAGAUUCAAGUGACAAAUAGAUUCAAAGAAUUAGAUCUGAUAGAGUGCCUGAAGAACUAUGGAUGGAGGUUCAUAACACUGUAUAGGAGGUGGAUCAAAACUAUCCCCAAGAAAAAGAAAUGCAAAAAGGUAAAAUGGUUGUCUGAGAAGGCCUUACAAAUACCUGAGAAGAGAAGCUAAAGGCAAAGAAAAGGAAAGAUAUACCCAUCUGAAUGCAGAGUUCCAAAGAAUAGCAAGGAGAGAUAAGAAAGCCUUCCUAAGUGAUCAGUGCAAAGAAAUAGAGGAAAAUAAUAGAAUGGGAAAGAUUAGAGAUGUCUUCAAGAAAAUUAGAGAUACCAAGGGAACAUUUCAUGCAAAGAUGGGCACAAUAAAGGACAGAAAUGGUAUGGACCUAACAGUAGAAGAAGAUAUUAAGAAGAGGUGGUAAGAAUACACAGAAGAACUAUACAAAAAGAUCUGAAUAACCCAGAUAACCACAAUGGUUUGAUCACUCACUUAGAGCCAAACAUCCUGGAGUGCAAAGGGGGCCUUAGGAAGCAUCACUACAAACAAAGCUAGUGGAGGUGAUGGAAUUCCAGCUUGAAUUCUUUAGGAAUUCAAAUCCUAAAAGAUGAUGCUGUGUAAGUGCUGGCCUCAAUAUGUCAGCAAAUUUGGAAAACUCAGCAGUGGCCACAGGACUGGAAAAGGUCAGUUUUCAUUCCAAUCCCAAUGAAAGGCAAUGCCAAAGAAUGCUCAAACUACCACAUUGUUGCACUCAUCUCACACACUAGCAAAGUAAUGCUCAAAAUUCUCCAAGUCAGGCUUCAACAGUAUGUGAACUGUGAACUUCCAGAUGUUCCAGCUGGAUUUAGAAAAGGCAGAGGAACCCAGAACUUAAAUUGCCAAUAUCUGUUGCAUCAUAGAAAAAGCAAGAUAAUUUCAGAAAAACAUCUACUUCUGCUUCAUUGACUACACUGAAGCUUUUGGCUAUGUGGAUCACGGCAAACUGUGAAAAAUUCUUAGAGAUGGGAAUACCAGACCACUUGACCUGCCUCCUGUGAAACUUCUAUGCACAUCAAGAAGCAGCAGUUAGAAUCAGACAUGGAACAACAGAUGGUUCCAAAUAGGGAAAGGAGUGCAUCAAGGCUGUAUAUUGUCAUCCUGUUUAUUUAACUUAUUUGCAGAGCACAUCAUGUGAAGUUCUAGGCUGGAUGAAGCACAAGCUGGAAUCAAGAUUACAGGGAGAUAUAUAUCAAUAACUUCAGAUAUGCAGAUGACACCACCCUUAUGGCAGAAAGCGAAGAGGAACUGAAGAGCCUCUUAAUGAAACUGAAAAGGAGAGUGAAAAAACUGGCUUAAAACUCAACAUUAAGAAAAUGAACAUCAUGGCAUCCAUCACUUCAUGGCAAAUAGUUGGGGAAACAAUGGAAACAGUGACAGAAUUUAUUUUCUUGGGAAUCAAAAUCAAAGCAGAUAGUGACUGCAACCAUGAAAUUAAAAGAUGCUUGCUCCUUGGAAGAACAUCUUUGACAAAGCUAGACAGCAUGUUAAAAAGCAGAAACAUUACUUUGCCAACAAAAGUCCAUAUAGUCAAAGCUAUGGUUUUUCCAGAUAGUCAUGUAUGGAUGUGAGAGUUGGACCAUAAAGAAGGCUGAAUGCCAAAGAACUGAUGCUUUUGGACUGUGGUGUUGGAGAAGACUCUUGAGAGUCCCUUGGACUACAAGGAGAUCCAACCAGUCUAUCCCAAUGGAAAUCAGUCCUGAAUAUUCAUUGGAAGGACUGAUGCUGAAGCUGAUACUCUGAUACUUUGGCUACCUUAUGCAAAGAACUGACUCAUUUGAAAAGACCCUGAUGCUGGGAAAGAUUGAAGGUGGGAGAAAGGGAUGACAGAGGAUGAGAUGGUUGGAUGGCAUCACCAACUCAACAGACAUGACUUUGGGCAAGUUCUGGGAGUUGGUGCUGGACAGGGAGGCCUGGCGUGCUGCAGUUCAUGGGGUCACAAAGAGCUGGACACCACUGAGCGACUGAACAACAACAAGCCCAAGCUGAGAGCCAUUGUCUCGUCUUCUUUUUCUGCUCAGGUAUGCAUGGCCAACAAAGACACUGAUGCUGAAAUACAGAAAGCCUGUGCAUAGCCACAAAGACCCAGUCCGGCCAAAAAAAAAAGAAAAGAAACUGAUGCCGAGACUGGAGCAGCAGCAGCUUUAUGCAAUAGCCAAAGAAUGGAGAAGCAGGAACUUAGUUUGCAAAUCAACUUCUCAACCCAAUGUGGGCGGAGAUACCAUCUGUAGAGGAGAGUCACGGUAAAAGGGAGUGUAUUGGAAAGAGAGGGAGGAAUAUUCAUAACUUAUCUGAGAACACAGGUGUGGUUUGGAUCUGGAACUAGUGCCACUCCUUUUCAGUCUUUGCUUGGACUUUUCUGGUUAUUGUUAUGACAGUUGUCAGCUGCCAUGGUGCUGGUGGGUGUGUCAUGUAGCAUGCUAUUACCAUGUGUAUAUAAUGAAGAUCGAGGUCUACCGGAAGUCAAAUCUUCUGUCAUUGUGGGUCUACUUGGUUCUAACCAAUCCUUGUUUUUCUUUCUGUAGGCUCUUCCUGAAAUUUAGGUAAGAGUAAUUGGUUUCCAUUCAAAGGAGGAGCAGGGUAUGGUUCUGGGGCAACACUAUGAACUUUGGAGAUGCUGGGCAUCAGGGUCUCCGUCAUCAUCAGCCAAACAUGCAGCCCGUUGUCAUCCAUCCGCGUUCUCAUAGCCACUUGGCCCUCAAGCACUGCUGUGCCCUCCUUGUCUUAGCCACAGGGUUUCUUCAAGGAGGGUGACCAACCAUCCCAGUUGGUCCAGGCAUGAGGGGUUUCCCAGGGUGUGGGACUCUCGGUGCUCAAAUCAGGAGAAUCUGGGGGCAAACUGGGAUGACCAAUCACCCUGUCUCCAAGUCCAAUUCUUUGUCAAUUUUUCUCUGUAGCUCAUAGAAACAUUUGAAGACUCUCUUAACACCGUCAUUAAGGAAACUCUGUAAGUCUAUUUCAGGCUUUCUGUCUAGACACCUGAUGCAGCCAUCUCUACUCUACAGCUCCUGGUCCAACCUAGACACAGUAGAGGAAGGCAAGACAGAAGAGGUUGGGAUAUUUGAGAAAUAUCGGUAUCUGCCAGAGGAAUACUCACCAAGUAUUCUUGCCUGGACAGUCCCCAUGGACAGAGGAGCUGGUGGACUGAAAUACAUGGGGUUGCAAAUAGUCGGACACAACUGAGCAACAAACACAGGCAGUUACUCUAAUUGCUUAUAUAUUCUACUAAAAUAUCU